rnacentral:rRNA from 1 species
GCGUUGUCCGGAAUUAUUGGGCGUAAAGAGCUCGUAGGCGGUCUGUCGCGUCGGCUGUGAAAACUCGGGGCUCAACCCCGAGCCUGCAGUCGAUACGGGCAGACUAGAGUGCUGUAGGGGAGACUGGAAUUCCUGGUGUAGCGGUGAAAUGCGCAGAUAUCAGGAGGAACACCGGUGGCGAAGGCGGGUCUCUGGGCAGUAACUGACGCUGAGGAGCGAAAGCGUG